AUGCUCAGGUUUGGAUGUGGGACACAGGAAAGACAGCACCGAGCUGCUGGUACGUGAUGCAAAAGCUGGGCUGCAUGAAGCGGUUUCAUUUACUGAGGUUGGAUGUGUGCCCAGAUUGCCAUAGGAGAAUUCAGGAAAACAGUAAGGAGAACCUCAGAACUGGUUGGGGGGAACAGCCACAGGGGGCAGAAGAAUAAAUACAUCUGAAGACUGUGCUUCCAGGAAUGAAAGGACUAGCCUCCGGGGAACAGUCAGGAGCCCCCCACACCCCCACCGGCCCUCUCCGUUUCUACUUGAGGUUAUCUGUGUGCUCAUCCUAAUUCUGAUUCAGAGUAACUGUAAGACUGUAAUUUGGCUGCAAGAGGAGAGAGAGGGCGAGGCAGGAAGAAGCCUUAGCCUGCCUUGCCUGGCGGUUUGUAAGCUUAGCAAGGAGAGUAAGUGUUUUUCUUUUCCUAUAAUGUUACCCAAAGAGAAAGAGCCUUGUGGAUUACAGCCAGGGUGGCUUUUUAAAACGUAUCUGCUGAGUAUCUAUCAUGUGGGACAGACCAGGGAGCUUUUAGGAAGCACAGGUUUUGCGACUCACAAUACGAAUUUAAAUUUGAAUGGGCCGUUUAUUGGGCUCACUUCCUAGAACGUUUUCUGAUAAUUAACUCUCUCAUCACGCUGCUCCACCUCAUGUCUUUGUUUGUAAUGUUAGUGGGUUUGCCAGAGAUGCUAAGUGUGUAAAUGCUGAUGGCCCCGAGAGGCAGUGCCUCAGGUUAGGUGCCUGCGAGGAAGUGGUGCUUGAGGAAAUGCUAAGUAAAGACAAUCAGACCUUGAGACACAGACAGACUCGUCGCACAAUCCGUAUUGAUUGUGCUUCCCCAGUAAACAGAGAAAAAAGAGGAUUUUACAGAAGGUAGGAACUGAGUUUCCUGGAUAAGAGGGAAUGGGGCAUCAGAGGAAAGUUAUAGGAUUACGGCAGAGACAUUUCAGCUCAAAGGUGAGCAGACUGGCAUUUACAGGGAAGGAUGUGAGGAUACACAUGUCUCCUACGGGCAGCAAAAAAAAAAAAAAUUACCAAUGGGUCAAGGGCAGUUAUCUUGCUACAGGCGUUUUAAAUGUGGGUCUUUACAGCCAUGCAUGAAAUAAGUUCCAGAUGGGCCAAAAUGUUAUUAUUUGUUUCUGCCAUCAAAAUGUGCCCCUUGGUAAUGAGCAGACAAUGCCAGGGAAAAGGAGGGAAAGGAAUAUUAUGCUGCCAACAGUAGCAUCGUCUGUAGUGACAACACCGUGGUAAGAAAGGAACAGGAUGAAAGGAGGUAUCGCUAGUGACCAGCCUUGAUGACCACGUGCUGCAACUGGAGUUAGAAAUUUGGAAGAAUCUCUGGGAAAAUCACUUCUGAGAGAAGAGCAGGUCAAUCAACACUUCACGUGAAAUGGGGCGAGUUAGGGACCUUCCAUCCUUACGGCAGCGAUGAGGCUUUUUUGUAGUUCUUAAGAGCAACCGCCUAAUGCACGAAUGGAGGGAAAGAAACAGAUGGAGGACCCCGGAACUCAGGUUAGCAGACAUUUAUUUCUAAGUCGUAUGUUUUAGGCAGACCUCGGGUCCCGUUAAAGAGAGAAGGACUGCCCGUGACUGCGGCGCAGGAAUUCUCUGGACUCUUCUAGCCAGAAGACGCACCAGCUGAGAAGGCUUCAACUGAAGAUCACCGUUGCUUAGAUGUGGGAGCCUGCUCCGAGCAUCCAGGCUUUCAUCUGCAGGAGAUCAAGUGGAGCCGUCGAAGAAAGAACAACUCCCAGCCCCUCCUUGUGCCAGUUCAAACCGAGACCCACGGGGGGACAGAUGUCCCAGCGCGAUCUGCUCACAAGAUGAGCGGUGGGGCCCACAGCCCCAGCUCGUGGUCCUCGCCCUCUAAGACUUUAUCGUUCCAAGUACCGUCUGCUCAGAAAUAACCCGAAUGCAGCCCCAGCCUCCUCUUUUCUUGCCUCCUCCCAUCCUCUCCACCUCGCUCUCGCCUCCUGGGCACUGGCUGGCUUUCCGCUCAAGGAACAGGGCAGGCGAGCCCUGUUCUCUCUAGGCUCCCUUUGCCCGUGUGUCCUGCCUCACUGCAGCGCCCUGCGGGGCUCACGGUCUUCCUUCCUCAGUGUCCGUAAAAGUGGGACUUGAUCCACGCGGGCUUCCCAGGGCACCUUCUGCAGGACAGCUCUGCCCCCACCCCACCUCCGUCUUUUUGAUCCUGUUUCAUCGUCUGUAGAUUCUUAUCUCCACCAGAUAGACUGGGUAAUUUUAGACUCUUUCCUUGCUUCUGCCCCUUGAAUGUGACCUUUCUGAAAGCAGAGUCUUGAUCCAUUUUGUUUGUACCCAUCUCCCAAGCCUAGACUAGUCGCUGGCUCUUAGUAGGUGUGCAAUGAAUAUUUGUCGACUAUAUGAAUUUGAGGAAAAGCACAAAAUGCCCUUUUGGACUGAAGAUGAAAGACACAGCGGCUCCAGUUGGCAGAAUCACGGCGGCUUUGGGAAGAUGAUGUGAAUUUACCAAGUGCCCUGGUCAGUGGUGGUGAAAGGUUGUAGCAGAUGACUCAUAAUUAAAUAUCUUUCACACACUGGGUUUUUGCACGUGCACGCACACAGAUGCACAAGCCAUUCGGCUAGUUUCUAAACUAGAGGACACCCCGUUAAAUUUGAAGUUUAGAUACACAAUGAAUAUCUUUAUUAUAACUAGGUCUCAUGCCAUAUUUAGGGAAACUUAUAGCAAUUAUUUCUUUAUUGUUUAUCUGAAUUUAAAUUUAACUGGGCACCCUAUAUUUUAUCUAGCAAGCUUAUGUAUAGGGAACAACAUAAUGAGAGGUAUGGGUGAUUUUUCAGAGCUCAGAAUUUACAUAAUUAAUGUAGGAAAGACAAAGCAGGGAAUGGCAAAAGCUAGAAUUCAUUCACAUUCUCCGCCCGCUGCAGCUCUGGGGCAGAUUCAGGGUAUUUAUCUUAUAGCCACACUCCCAGAUGAGGUUUUGUGUUUUUUCCCAUUUUAGAAUCUCCCUUAACUGGACUCUCUUACAGUUUUUGAGAAUUCUAAGAUGUAUUUAUUUUAAUGUUGCUUUUUUGUUCCCCAUACUGUCUCCAGAAUUUCAUAGAGGACCUUGUCCGAAAUGACUCACAGUCUAUGGUGGUGGCUAUUUGGCUUUCUUGAUAUCUUUUUAUCAAAUAUAACUCUCAAUUCCACGCUCUUUAUUUGGGACACAUUUCUUUAGUGCUAAUUCUUAGCAUUAAUGCUGACCAAUGAUGGGAAUCCCUUUUAAUAGAUUGUAAUUUUAAAAUUACAGUUAUGUUGAAAUUGAAAUAACCACAAGAUCGUUGCCAAAACGACUCACGAAAAGCUUAUUUCAGAAAAACAGAAGCAUGACUGAAAAUGAUAUGGACAAAAGAAGAAUAUUUCUGUUUAGCAGCUAAAGAGAUGCUUUUGUAAGUUUAAAACAUAAAACUUUGAGGUUGUAAGAUUCUUGAUGGCUUUUUAAAGUUAUAAAUUAAUUUUUAAAAAAUUAUUUCAAAUUUCGUGCAUAUAGAGAGGAAUUAUGAAUAUUUCAAGUUGCUUGCUUUAAAUAUUCGCAUGAAAUGCAAUGGCCUUGAGUGGGACUCUCUGACCGCCAAGGCUUAGAAGUACUUUGGUAGGUCAUACGACCGACGGAAGUCAGACAAUUACCAGCAAAUGUAUUCGGUGUGCUGUCAAGUUUUAAAACCCAGUAUUCAAAGAAGGGAGAGACCAUCGGGACUGGGACAGUUGGAAAAGCUUCGCCGAGAAAGGGGGGGCUCAAUGUCUGCCGUGGAGGGUGGACUGCGGGCGUUUUCUCCGAGAGAAGGGUGACCGUAAGGCCAGGAAGAAGCAGUCUGCACGCAACUUCGGAGAGGAAAUAAGAAUAAGAGGCUGUACAAGAGCCAGAGAUGAUGGAGGACACAAGGAAAAAGUAGAACUGCUUCUGUUCGGAAUUUCUGGGCCGUAAUCCUAGACGAGAAGCACAGACUCUAGACCUAAGGUCACUGGCUGCAGAGCUGUCAUACAUGCCACCACGGGAGUCACGUUCAUUGCAAAGUCGGCUCCGCAAAGCUGGCUCCGAACUUGGGUGUACCUCUCCCAGCCGAAGAGACCGCAGGAACUGGCAUUUUCCUUCUUCCAGCGCUCCUUUAAGGAAAUCAUCAUCCUUCUCAGAUGUUUGAGCUUGUGGGGUGACUUCGACUCAGAAUGAAGACCCGCAGACUCCUGUCUGUGGCUACAAAUGGAUAUUUAGGUCUCUGAGAAUUUCAAGUGAUUGGCCGCUUUGAGACCAGAAGGUGAGAGACGAGCCUCAUCCUGCGUUUUGGCCACAGGCGGGUCGAAUCGGGCACUAAGAUGCCUUUCCAAGCAUUAGUCUCCUUAAGACCAGGCACACUGUUCAGAGGGCUGCCCCUUCCUGGCCAUUGUCCCCCACGAAAGAGGAAGGUAUUUGGGGAAGAUGUAUUUUGCCAGCUCGUCCAUCGGAGAAUAUUUGUUCACUAAUGUAUUUCGUGAACACUGUACAAGUUACCCGGGACAGUUCCUUCUGAUCAUGUACCGCCCAGAUUUACACUCCGUGACUUCGUAGAAGAUGCAGCUCUCAUCCCCGGUGUGAGCAGUUGUGCGGCGGCGGCGAUUUGCAGAAUGAAGCUCUUCUUUGCAGACACUGUAAUUAGCACUCGUCUUAUUUAUACAUCUCCCUCACCAUGGUGUGUCCCCUUUAAAAAUAUUUUUAUUUAAAAUGGCAUGCAAGGAAAUAGCUCGGCACGCGUAGGGGAGAAAAAAAAAGAAGAAACAACAAACUGCUGAUAAAUCCAUCUGUUGAGAAACCGCAGUACACAAAUUAAAAGAGUAAGU
rnacentral:lncRNA from 1 species